GCGAGAGUGGUGGAACUGGCAGACACGCCAGACUUAGGAUCUGGUGCCCGAUUCAGGGUAUAAGGGUUCGAGUCCCUUCUCUCGCA
rfam:Spirochaetes bacterium RBG_16_67_19 RBG_16_scaffold_11445, whole genome shotgun sequence.